rnacentral:rRNA from 1 species
UACGAAGGGGGCUAGCGUUGCUCGGAAUUACUGGGCGUAAAGCGCACGUAGGCGGCUUCUUAAGUCAGGGGUGAAAUCCCGGAGCUCAACUCCAGAACUGCCUUUGAUACUGAGAGCUUGAGUCCGGGAGAGGUGAGUGGAACUGCGAGUGUAGAGGUGAAAUUCGUAGAUAUUCGCAAGAACACCAGUGGCGAAGGCGGCUCACUGGCCCGGUACUGACGCUGAGGUGCGAAAGCGUGGGGAGCAAACAGGG